rnacentral:rRNA from 1 species
AUGCCAUCUUCUUUUUCUGGUUCCAAAAAGUCCUCUCCUUUGGUGGCUUUCUGGCAAUACACCCAGUGCCAACAGUUCAAGAGAAGAGCUUUAAAGGUGAAGGAGGAUCUUGAAAGUGCUGUCCCUGGGGUUUCUGUGACAAUCAACCCUGAAAAGCCACGGCGUGGAUGCCUUGAGAUACGGGAGGAAGGUGGUGAUGUGUUCAUUUCACUGCUGAACAUGCCACGGCCCUUCAAAAAGAUGAGGGAGCUCGACAUGGACAAGGUUAUAAAGGACAUUGCCCAGAAAUUGCUUGAAUCUGACGUGGCAUUAUGGAUGCCCUCCUUUUGCAAUUGA